rnacentral:rRNA from 1 species
UACAGAGGGUGCGAGCGUUAAUCGGAGUUAUUGGGCGUAAAGCGCGCGUAGGCGGUUACUUAAGUCGGAUGUGAAAGCCCUCGGCUUAACUGAGGAAGUGCACCCGAAACUGAGUAGCUAGAGGUACGAAAGAGGGUCGCGGAAUUCCCGGUGUAGAGGUGAAAUUCGUAGAUAUCGGGGAGGAACACCGGGUGGCGAAGGCGGCGACCUGGGU